GAGUGAUCACAGCCAGCGCUGCCUUCCUUUCAGGCCCUGGUGCUUCUCUGUUUAUGUGCCUUACGGCUUCUGCAGCGCUGCGAUGCCUGGAGGAAGAAUUUCCCACUUAGAGGCUUACUGCUCUGUGCACAGACACGCGAGUUGCAGAAUGAGUGUCUAAUUUGGCGUGGCCCAUGAAGGGUGAAGGCUCAGCCCCACGUCUUGGUUUACCUUCAGCUGCUGGCAAUGGAGGGGCACAUACCGAAAUAUUUGCAGAUGAGGAUGAUGUGAUUCUGGUGGGCAGCCAAUGAGUGGGGAUACAGAGGAAGCAAGUUUGACCCUGAAUUGAUAAUCACUGGAGCAGAAUGACGGGGACACAGAGGUUAGUGAUACUACUGGGUCUGUUUUUGUGUAAGUCUGAUAGGUUCCAUCAAAAGAAGUGUAAAAUAACCAAAAGGCUUAACGGGGACUCAUCCUUGCCAGCACAUUUGCCGAGGAGUGGGCAAGUGCUGCCUGUCGCAGUUGUAUAAUCGCUGGGGGUAAAUGUGGAAGUUCGUCAAUCAGCAAGGCCGUAGUGGGGGCUGACUGGCAGCAAGCCCAGCGCUGCGUGGCUGUCAUCUUGCCUCGAGGCCCAUUUGCCCUCUAUAAAUAACAGUCUAUAUGAAUGCUUUACUAUUUUAACACACAUGGGCCACAGCUGCUGAGCACGUUUGUUUACGUAGCUAUGAAACCUUCUGUAAACACCACUAUCUCAAAAUCGCCCAUGUGUCAGGAACAUAAACGGCCCCCUUUAAAAAUAUAUCUGCAGAUGAGACACAGCCAACUCCUAGAUGUCUGAGUGGCUGGUGUCAGAAUUUUCCAGGGUUUGAUUCAUUUUCAAAAAUAGAACCACAUGACUGGAAGGUUCUUGAAAGGUCGCCUGGCAUGUCCCUCCUGACUUCAGGCGGGACCAGGCCAAAGCCAUUCACAAAGGACUCGGGGCUGUUCUGCGUGGGCAUGGGUCUGUCUUUUGUGCAGUCCCUUCAAGGCCAUGAAAGGGGGGCUCGCUUCCAGCCUUCAAGGAGCCCACUUUCGUUUUCUAAAAAUGGAACCUGACCCUGCAAUGCGGCUGGCAUUGGAAGGCAGUGCAUCCACAGAGCACCACUCGCCUGCACCGGGCCUGAGCUCCCAGCAGACGGAAGGACCCAGGUGGCCUCCUGUGGGACAACUCCGGUCUCCGGAAAACACCACGCUGGGAUCAUCCUGUGCCCAGGAUGCCUGCUUCCUAACAGGGAAGAGGGCACCGCGUGAAGGUGGCCAUGUGGGCCUUCCCUCCUCCCUGGAAGAGGCCUGCUCGUGGAGACCACUGAGCACAGCAGGUUAAGGUCAACUGCGACAUUGUUGAAAGAAGUGAUGAGCGCAGGGGAAGCUGUUUUGUGUCAGCUUGCUAUUAUCACGGCUCCUGAUUUCCAGUCCAGCACUACAAUGAAUAAUUAGAUCCCUGUGAAUUUGUUUUCCUCGAGUGUGCAUUUGGUCCACAUUUUUUUUUCCUGUGGUUUUGAGAGAUUGAAGCAUUUUUCUCCCCUAAGGGCCUGUUUAAUGCCCAUAAAUCCUAAUUGAGCUUUUCAUUCACAAAGAAACAGUAUCCUGCUGAAGCGUAAGAGAGCAGCUGUGCUGGGGGUACUGAGUUGUAUGAUUCCCCUGAGGAAAAGACCAAGACACUUCCAGUUUCCAGACACCUCCAGAACUUUCUAGAACCCCCCCCCCAAGUCUAGAAAUUAGAAGACUAUUUUUUAAAAGAAAAUGAGUAGCAGUUGCCUUUUCCCAGGGAUGGGGUGAGCGUUUGGAUUGAUUUUGCUGGUAAUUACUCAGAUUUCUCUAUGAAAGCUGUAGAAAGGCCAUAGGGUGCUCAGAGGCAAGUAUCACUGUUAAUUACCAAGAAAACCAUAUUCCUCCCUUUGGAAAGGCUCACUCAUUACCAGCUGUCAUCAGAAAGCCAGGGCCUGCCCCAGGGAGAAUUCUGACUCAGGGACAUCACAAAGAUAAUUUGCUUAUUCCAGAUUCAUUUAUUUUACAGAGAUUGGGCUCUGGUUUGAGGGAACACAAAGCUUAACUCCCACAAUUUAAAGCUCAGACUAGCAUCAGUAACCAGAGGGUACGUCUCCAGUGGUUUUUGCUUCUUGAGCUUGGAGACACUGCCCUCUCUCAUGUCCUCUUGGGGGAAUUUAUGGUGAAAAGGGAAAAGAAAAACUGCAUCCUGAGUGGUCAGUUCAUAGUGUCAGAGGCUGUAGCUCUGUGGCCGCUAGGGGGAUCCAGAGUCCCUGUGCUCAGCUGAGGUUGGGGAAGUUUCUGGUCUGUAGGAAAGUGACAGCUCCCUGUUUGAAUUAUUUCUCUUUCCUCCCUCCUCCCCAGCCUCCCCUCCUCCUCUCUCCCUCCUCCCUUUCUCUUCCCUCCCUCCUCCCCUUCUCCUCCUCUCCUUCCUCCCUUUCUCUUCCCUCCCUCCUCCUCCCUCCCUCCUCCCCUUCUCCU
rnacentral:lncRNA from 10 species